GAUAGCCAUGCUAGUUGUGCGGGUUUAGACCCGCAGCGGAAAGCUCAGUAACACGUGGCCAAGCUACCCUGUGGACGGGAAUACUCUCGGGAAACUGAGGCUAAUCCCCGAUAACGCUUUGCUCCUGGAAGGGGCAAAGCCGGAAACGCUCCGGCGCCACAGGAUGCGGCUGCGGUCGAUUAGGUAGACGGUGGGGUAACGGCCCACCGUGCCCAUAAUCGGUACGGGUUGUGAGAGCAAGAGCCCGGAGACGGAAUCUGAGACAAGAUUCCGGGCCCUACGGGGCGCAGCAGGCGCGAAACCUUUACACUGUACGAAAGUGCGAUAAGGGGACUCCGAGUGUGAAGGCAUAGAGCCUUCACUUUUGUACACCGUAAGGUGGUGCACGAAUAAGGACUGGGCAAGACCGGUGCCAGCCGCCGCGGUAAUACCGGCAGUCCGAGUGAUGGCCGAUCUUAUUGGGCCUAAAGCGUCCGUAGCUGGCUGAACAAGUCCGUUGGGAAAUCUGUCCGCUUAACGGGCAGGCGUCCAGCGGAAACUGUUCAGCUUGGGACCGGAAGACCUGAGGGGUACGUCUGGGGUAGGAGUGAAAUCCUGUAAUCCUGGACGGACCGCC
rnacentral:rRNA from 1 species